UUUACGGAGAGUUUGAUCCUGGCUCAGGACGAACGCUGGCGGCGUGCUUAACACAUGCAAGUCGAACGAUGAAGCCCAGCUUGCUGGGUGGAUUAGUGGCGAACGGGU
rfam:Cellulosimicrobium sp. CTA-896 NODE_45_length_21003_cov_117.883_ID_97, whole genome shotgun sequence.